AAUAUGUUGCUACUUCUCUCAAUAACAUUGCUGCCCUGAAUUUAUCAGGCGCUAUCGACAAAGGUCAGUGGGAACAAGUUGUGACGACGAUCGUGCCAUGCAGUGCUGACUCUCACUCUGAAAAUAAGUUUUGAAAUCAGUGGAACACCACCAGUCAAACAAGCUGUGCAAACUAAACGGAAACAGUGUGUCUUAUAAAAGUGGUUGCAGUCUGCUGUGAAGCUUUCAUCCAUYUAUACAGCAUCAAUCAGAACAUGCAUGACUCUAAUCCACAAGUCAUACAGUCAUCAAAAGGAGAGCUGGCGCAAGCAAAGGCAUCAGCUACAUGGGAAAACACGUGUGGACCUGAAUUGUGAUAACUGCAGUGGCCAAAACAAGAACAAGUUUGUGCUCUGGUAUGCACAAGCUCCACCACAAUCUGUACCUUCACUUCCUGAUCACAAGUUUGCCUGACUGGUGCUUCUGCCUCAUUUUAAGCAGCGCUUCAGAAAGACCAGAGUCAACACUUUGAGAUUGCAGGUGUUGUGAAGGACAGCACUGAUGGGUCAACAUCCCACAGCUGGUUGGACUGGAGGAUGGUACGGUGCUGGUGGAAAGCUAUGGCUGGCAACUACACCUGACUCUACUUCAGGCCACUGCCACAGAUCAAGCAGUACCAGCACUUCAGAUAAAUCAUUUUCAUUCUUCAAUGCUCUGGAGCCUUGUGUUGUCGCCAAGGCGUUAUCGGACUGUCGGGCCCAGGUUUCAGGUGCUGCGCAUCCUUCCUCCCAUAGAUGGUCUGCCUGUGAAAGCACCACCUGGACUGGACACAGCUAGACAAACUAUAUUUGACAAGCUCAGGGAGUUUUGCGGCAAAGAGGGUAUGGACGUCACAUGUCCUGCACCAAAGUCAAGGGCAGGACAGAAACAGGCUCUCGGAAUAUAGAUUCCCUGGUUUAGAUGGACCAGUCAUCAGCACUAUCUGCAGUGCCUCUAUUCACAUGACUCCCUCCUAACACACAUGUUGCUGCUACUAUAAAAAUAAAUUUAAAAAAUGUAUCCUGCUGCUCGGCCACUUUACCCCUAAUUGUAUGCAUAGAACUACCUCUAUCACUGAUAUUGUGUAUGUUAUUUAUAUUGACACUGCCUAUUUCUGAUAUUGCUACUAUGCAAGUAACCAUCUGGCUGUACCAUUU